AUUGAACGCUGGCGGCAGGCCUAACACAUGCAAGUCGAGCGGAUGAAGGGAGCUUGCUCCUGGAUUCAGCGGCGGACGGGUGAGUAAUGCCUAGGAAUCUGCCUGGUAGUGGGGGAUAACGUCCGGAAACGGGCGCUAAUACCGCAUACGUCCUGAGGGAGAAAGUGGGGGAUCUUCGGACCUCACGCUAUCAGAUGAGCCUAGGUCGGAUUAGCUAGUUGGUGGGGUAAAGGCCUACCAAGGCGACGAUCCGUAACUGGUCUGAGAGGAUGAUCAGUCACACUGGAACUGAGACACGGUCCAGACUCAUACGGGAGGCAGCAGUGGGGAAUAUUGGACAAUGGGCGAAAGCCUGAUCCAGCCAAGCCGCGUGUGUGAAGAAGGUCUUCGGAUUGUAAAGCACUUUAAGUUGGGAGGAAGGGAAGUAAGUUAAUACCUUGCUGAUUUGACGUUACCAACAGAAUAAGCACAGGCUAACUUCGUG
rnacentral:rRNA from 1 species